CCGCACUGUCUAGGCUCCGCCUUGUCCGAAUUCUCCACCACUGUGACGGGAGGAGCAAACGACAGACACAGUGGGCAUGGCGUCAGGCCUCGGAGAGGCUUUUAUUAACAGAAAAUAAACCAAAAGAGGGAAUAAAAGUGGCCAAAGGGGGAGAGUGUCCAAAACAGGGAAUCUGGUGUCCUCGUCGUGCUGUGGGGGUCGUGGGGGUCUGGCAGUGUUCACGGAGGGAAGGGUCCAGGUAAGGGGCGGAGUCCAGCGGCCGCAUGCACUCCCCUCUUCGGUCCAGAGUGCGAGGGGCGGCGGCUUCUUCCAGAGGGUGCAUCCUUCUCGCUGGCCGCGGCACUUGCAGGGGAUAGACGGCCUGGCAUUCUGGCCUGAUGGUCGUGUAAACUGGUGCGGUUCUCAUCCGGACCGCGGGUCCGGCAGCUCACGUCUUCUGGUGGUGCGGGAGUCCCUCAACGCACCCUUCCUGGACCCACGAGGACACCAGUGUGCAUGCACACUGGUGUCCUCGUGGGUCCAGGAAGGGUGCGUUGAGGGACUCCCGCGCCACCAGAGACGUGAGCUGCCGGACCCGCGGUCCGGUCGAGAACCGCACCCGUCUACACGGCCGUCGGGCCAGGAUGCCGGGCCGUCCAUCCCCUGCAAGCGCCGCGGCCAGCGAGGAGGAUGAAGCCGCUAGAAGAAGCCGCCGCCCCUCGCGCCCCGGACCGAAGAGGGGAGCGCGUGCGGCCGCCGGACUCCGCCCCUUACCUGGACCCUUCCUCCAUGAACACUGCCAGACCCCCACGAACCCCGCAGCACGACGAGGACACCAGAUUCCCUGUUGUUUUGGACACUGUUCCCCUUUUGGACACUUUAUUCCCCCUUGUUUUGGUUUUUCUGUUAAAUAAAAACCUCUCCGAGGCCUGACGCCACGCCCACUGUGUCUGUCGUUGGCUCGUCCCGUCACACUUUGUAAAGGUGUAAAACAUGUCUCAAGCACUAGAAAAAAAAUAUUUGCAGCAUUUUACUGUUAUUUGUAAGUGUAAUUCAUGUAUUGGGAAACUGCAGCUUCAUGCUAACACAAAAUAAGUAUGACCUGCAUGCUUCUGACUUCCAUUUUUCUGCGCUUACACUUUUGGCACGUUGUUUUCGCCAAAAGACGGUCAAAAGCACUGCAAGCCUGUGAACAGUGAUUUGCAAGCGAAAACAACAGUUUAAAGAACUGCAAAAUGGAUUGACUGCAUAGAACCAAUCUGUAUGUGUGCAAAAACAAACUGUUGGAAAUGUCUAAAUGACUCGUUGUGUAUGCAGGGCAAAAAGUUCCCGAAA
rnacentral:lncRNA from 12 species